rnacentral:rRNA from 1 species
UACGAAGGGGACUAGCGUUGUUCGGAAUCACUGGGCGUAAAGCGCACGUAGGCGGAUGUGUCAGGUCAGGGGUGAAAGCCCCGGGCUCAACCUGGGAACUGCAUUUGAAACUGGCGGGCUUGAGUAUGGCAGAGGGGGGUGGAAUUCCGCGUGUAGCAGUGAAAUGCGUAGAGAUGCGGAGGAACACCGAUGGCGAAGGCAGCCCCCUGGGCCAAUACUGACGGCUCAGGCACGAAAGCGUGGGGAGCAAACAGG